GGAAGGGAACAGCUACAGGUGGGCAUCCAGGGGCCAACCCUGAGGGGAAGGCACAUGCAGUGGCAGAGCUCAUGUGCAAAGGUGCAGGCAAGGAGAAAACAGGCCCGGGAGCAGAGGCUGGAGCAGGACACCGGGAGACCCACAUCCAGACGGGGGAGCUUGGACUGGUUUCAGAGGAAGACAGCACACGGACAAAGGAUGGGCGCAAGGACAGCACACGAUCAAAGAGAAACUAAACGGAGCUCUAUACGCCUGUAAUAGGGCAUCUGGGAAGUCAAAAUCCCAAGCAAUGCUGUAAAACUUUUACUAUUUGCCUGAUAUCUAUCCAUCUCAAAGAAGCACCAGAAAUAGUUCGUAUACUCAUGAGUAGCGUCUGGCAUCCCCAAGAUAAGCCUAGUUAAGGCUUGUGACGCGCCCAAGAAUGACGCUUCUCUACCAGAAUCUCCGGACAGAAGGAGAGGCAGAGGGACACGGAGCAGAGAAGAACCAGGAAAUUCUGUAACAGGCAACAAGAGGGUGGGGAGUGAGGAAGGAAUGAAAGUGCUCCUCCCACAUGUGCGAGCCAGCUCUGUUGGUUCUUGGGAGACCCUGAGCCGUCUCCCUGGAGAAGUUGAGGGUGUGAACACAUCCAAAGUCCCAGUCUGAAACGGAAGAGAAAUUCAGGAAUACAGAGAAGGGCCAUAAAAGAACAGCCGGGGGAUGAAACCGAUGACAGGAGGCCAGAGAGAAAGAAAAGCGAGUUCUGGAGAAGGUGGACAAAGGUUUUCAAGGACGCGACAGUGAAUGAUGGCUUUUUCCAUUUCUACCAAAUACUUUAAAAAACGUGAAUUUCAUGGAGCCGGAGGUGGUGGUCCAGAGGGAAGGAGGCACACUUGACCACAGCAGCGACGGAGGCCGUGCUGGACCCUGGAGCCUCUCCUGCAUGGAAGACCCUCCAGGACAAGCAGAUCCAACACCUGCCUCGCUUUGGGGUGGUUUUGCUGAAGCCCCAGAGAUAAAUGAGGGGACAUAUACAGGGCCUGAAGGGCUGGUCCAGGCCUGCACCCAGAUGAAUUAUGAUAUUUUCCUGCCCUGGAAGCUGACAAGAACCAGUGUGGCUUUCUGGGGAGGCAGAGAGGCAAGAGCAGGGGGUCCGGAACCCACAGACACUCUCAGAGGAAACUACAGAAUGACACUGCUCUUAUAAUGCUUGGGAUUUUGGUGGUCGAGGCAGCGCACCCAGCGUUGGAAUUCUUGGGUGACCUACCGGCUGAGGACUAGUACCAAAGUCUUCUUUUGGCCAUCUCAACCAAUUCUUUUUUCAAAACAACAAG
rnacentral:lncRNA from 1 species